rnacentral:rRNA from 1 species
AGCUCCAAUAGCGUAUAUUAAAGUUGUUGCGGUUAAAAAGCUCGUAGUUGGAUCUCGGCGGUCAGGGGGCGGUUCGCUUUUGGCGCUACUGCCCCAUUUGGCCGUGAUUUUUUGGCGGAGGUCUCGGGGUGCUCUUAAUCGAGUGUCCCGCGGCGCCGUCAGGUUUACUUUGAAAAAAUUAGAGUGCUCCAAGCAGGCUUUACACGCUUGAAUAUUUGUGCAUGGAAUGAUGGAAUAGGACGUCGUUUCUAUUUUGUUGGUUUUCGGAAAUCGACGUAAUGAUUAACAGGGACAGUCGGGGGCAUUGGUAUUCAGACGACAGAGGUGAAAUUCUUGGACCGUCUGAAGACCGACCACUGCGAAAGCAUUUGCCAAGAAUGUUUUCAUUAAUCAAGAACGA